rnacentral:rRNA from 1 species
AUUGAACGCUGGCGACAUGCCUUACACAUGCAAGUCGAACGGCAGCACGGGUGCUUGCACCUGGUGGCGAGUGGCGAACGGGUGAGUAAUACAUCGGAACAUGUCCUGUAGUGGGGGAUAGCCCGGCGAAAGCCGGAUUAAUACCGCAUACGAUCUACGGAUGAAAGCGGGGGACCUUCGGGCCUCGCGCUAUCGGGUUGGCCGAUGGCUGAUUAGCUAGUUGGUGGGGUAAAGGCCUACCAAGGCGACGAUCAGUAGCUGGUCUGAGAGGACGACCAGUCACACUGAGGCUGAGACACGGCCCAGACUCCGACGGGAGGCAGCAGUGGGGAAUUUUGGACAAAGGGCGAAAGCCUGAUCCAGCAAUGCCGCGUGUGUGAAGAAGGCCUUCGGGUUGUAAAGCACUUUUGUCCGGAAAGAAAGCCUUGGCCCUAAUACGGUCGGGGGAUGACGGUACCGGAAGAAUAAGCACCGGCUAACUACGU